rnacentral:rRNA from 1 species
AGAGUUUGAUCCUGGCUCAGAUUGAACGCUGGCGGCAUGCCUUACACAUGCAAGUCGAACGGUAACAGGGAGCUUGCUCCGCUGACGAGUGGCGAACGGGUGAGUAAUAUAUCGGAACGUACCAUUCAGUGGGGGAUAACGUAGCGAAAGUUACGCUAAUACCGCAUAUUCUGUGAGCAGGAAAGCAGGGGAUCGCAAGACCUUGCGCUGAUUGAGCGGCCGAUAUCAGAUUAGCUUGUUGGUGAGGUAAAAGCUCACCAAGGCGACGAUCUGUAGCGGGUCUGAGAGGAUGAUCCGCCACACUGGAACUGAGACACGGUUCAGACUCCUACGGGAGGCAGCAGUGGGGAAUUUUGGACAAUGGGGGCAACCCUGAUCCAGCCAUGCCGCGUGAGUGAAGAAGGCCUUCGGGUUGUAAAGCUCUUUCAGCCGGGAAGAAAACGCAUGGGUUAAUACCCUGUGUGGAUGACGGUACCGGAAUAAGAAGCACCGGCUAACUACGUGCCAGCAGCCGCGGUAAUACGUAGGGUGCGAGCGUUAAUCGGAAUUACUGGGCGUAAAGCGUGCGCAGGCGGUUUUGUAAGACAGGCGUGAAAUCCCCGGGCUUAACCUGGGAACUGCGUUUGUGACUGCAAGGCUAGAGUACGGCAGAGGGGGGUGGAAUUCCACGUGUAGCAGUGAAAUGCGUAGAGAUGUGGAGGAACACCAAUGGCGAAGGCAGCCCCCUGGGUCGAUACUGACGCUCAUGCACGAAAGCGUGGGUAGCAAACAGGAUUAGAUACCCUGGUAGUCCACGCCCUAAACGAUGUCAACUAGGUGUUGGGAGGGUAAAACCUUUUAGUACCGGAGCUAACGCGUGAAGUUGACCGCCUGGGGAGUACGGCCGCAAGGUUAAAACUCAAAGGAAUUGACGGGGACCCGCACAAGCGGUGGAUGAUGUGGAUUAAUUCGAUGCAACGCGAAAAACCUUACCUACCCUUGACAUGCCAAGAACUUUCCAGAGAUGGAUUGGUGCCCGAAAGGGAACUUGGACACAGGUGCUGCAUGGCUGUCGUCAGCUCGUGUCGUGAGAUGUUGGGUUAAGUCCCGCAACGAGCGCAACCCUUGUCGUUAAUUGCCAUCAUUUAGUUGGGCACUUUAACGAGACUGCCGGUGACAAACCGGAGGAAGGUGGGGAUGACGUCAAGUCCUCAUGGCCCUUAUGGGUAGGGCUUCACACGUCAUACAAUGGUCGGUACAAAGGGUCGCCAAGCCGCGAGGUGGAGCCAAUCCCAGAAAGCCGAUCGUAGUCCGGAUCGCAGUCUGCAACUCGACUGCGUGAAGUCGGAAUCGCUAGUAAUCG